AUGGUUGGAGUAGAGCAGUGUUAGAGUGGAGCACUUGAGGCUUUCUGAGAAGAGAUGGAGGCUAAGGGCAAAUCUGCUGCCAAGAUUUGCAGCAGAAUGGCCAACUGAUACACCCAAGACUUGGCGAUAGUGCAGCCUUCUGAUCAGCAGGAAAAUGUGCUCUGAGUACACUGAAAUCAAUGAGUUAAAUUAGCUGCCAGAAGAAAGUGCUGGACACACACAGGUUUUGACAGGCUGGCCUGAGAGCCUAUAUGGAAUUUCAAGCAUCCGUGGGGAAUCAGGUUCAAACCAUACACAAGUCUUUGAGCAGCUAUUGAAGUCCAUCCUUUCCAGCAUGGAAACAGUGGCCAACAUCCCAUCAGAACUUGUGGAGUUGACCAUUGCGUACCUGAUGACUGAUGUCUUAGCUUACAACGUAGCACAUGCAAAAGCCACUUAACAUCUUGGCACUGAAAUAAAAGCUUUGCCUACUGCCUUUCAAGUUAGGUUUGAUGACUACAUGGAUAUGGACAUAAUUCUUCAAAGGAACCUUGUGGAUGUUCAAGACAGAGACUGAUGUUUAGGUAUUAAAGAAAUCGAGGGAUGAAGUUAGUUCAGAAAUUAAAAGUCAGUCACAAUCUUAUGGAAUGGCAGGUUCAAGGGGCCAAAUGACCUAAUCCUGCUUCUAAUUCUUAUCUUUUUAUGUCACAGAAGUUAAUAAUAUGUGCUCCCACAGAUAACAAGAAUAAACUGAAUUUCCAACAAAUGGGAAUAGCUGCAAUUCUGUGGAACGCAAAUCAACUGUCUUAUCUAAGGACAUCAGCCUUUGAUUCCAUCUGUUCCACUGGACUACUGCUGUUCAUGGGAAGAUGACACAAUCCAAAGACAGGACAGCUGGACUAAGAGGUGCUUGACAUUGUUCUUCAUGGCUAUCUGCUAUCCACCAAGUGCUAGAAGUUGAGGAUAUCAGGUGUGAUUGAAGAAGCCUUACAACGUUGCUGACAUCCAUUCUGUAAAUACUACACACUGCAGCAUUGGUAUCAGUGGUGGAGAUCAGUGAAUAUUCAGGACUAUUGGCAGGGGUCCCAAUCACGCCGACUGCUAUUUCCUAAAUGAAAAUAAGUGUGGUUGGAGCCGCCCAGUGGAAAACAGUGUCAUUUGUCAUACAUCAUGGAAACAGGCAUUUAGUGCCCACCAAAUCUGCACUAUCAAGUGCCCAUUUACAUUUAAUCCUAUUUUAUUAUUCUCCUCAUAUUCCCAUCAACUCCCACCAGAUUCAAUCACCGACUACCACAAUAGGUGCAAUUUUCAGUGGCCAAUUAAUAUACCAACUUGUACAUCUUUGGAAGGAAACAGGAGCACCCAGAGGCAACCCAAGUGGUCACAGGAAGAAAGUUCAAACCCACAGACAGGCGCCUGAGGUCAGGAUCAAAUCUGGGUCGCUGGAGCUGUGAGGUAGCAGCUUUAUUAACUGUGCUACUGUGCUGCCCAAUACUGUUUUCUAAUUCUACGUGCUUGUAAACUAUUAAAAAUCUUUGUAAAGUCGGGUCCCCGGCUACAACAAAACAAGCUUCCAGCAAGAUUGUGUGGCCAUAAUAUCAAAGUGGCUUUUUGGUCAAUGGUAACUCUUAUGACGUUUUUGGUGAAGGAUUCAUUAUUGAAUGUCAAGGGGAAGUGGUAAAAAUUUCUCUCACUGGAGAUGAUCACUGCCUGACACUUCAGUGCACAAAUGUUAUAUGUCAUUUACCAGACCAUGCUGAAUGUUGUCUAGGUCUUGCUGCAAAUGGGCAUGGACUGCUUAAACAUAAGCAUUUGUAAUUGAGGAACUGAACACUGUGCAAUCAUUUGCUAUUAUUUCCACAUCUGACCUAAUGGUGGAAGAAAAAUCAGUGAUAAAGCAGAUUUAGAUUUCAGAAUCUAGGCCACUGGCCUGAGGACCUCCUGCAAUAGUGUCCUGUCACUGAGAUUACUGUGCUCCUAAAAACGCAACCACUUUUGUUUUGUGGAGUGCCUGCAUUCAGGCUGCAGGAGUGAUCCUGAACUUCUGAUGCCUACCACUUUAGUUCAUCCUGCUCCCACUUUGAUUUUUCUGUCUGUGGCCUCCUGUUCUGUUAUAACAAGGACCAGUGCAAGCUUGAGGAACACUACCUCUUCUGUCCAGCAGGUUUCAGCCUUCAGGACUCCAUAUUGAACUUUAAGUAAUGCAUUCUAUCUUUUUCUUUCUCUCUGUUUUACAACUGGACAUUUCUGCCUAUCAUCAUUUCUACUCAGUGUUUCCUUUUAUUUUAAUAUAGUUUAGCUGCUGGGUACAUACCACAAGCUUGCCAAUAGCAACAUGUUACACAGGUAAAGAAACACAAUCUCAUCUUAACUGCUGCAUUAAGUCAUCUGGUCUGACCCCAUCAGGAUACUCCCAUUGUUCUACUCAUCCUUCCCCCAUCUUCCCUGUUACCUUGUUUUCUCUCAGUUCUGAUGAAGGGCCCUGGACCAGAAACAUUAACUGUUUCUCUUUCCUCAGAUGCUGCCUGACCUGCUGAGUGAUUCCAAUAUUUUGUUUUUAUUUCAGAUUUCCAUCAUCUGCAGUCUUUUUGAUUUUUUCACCACCUUCCUUUUUUUAACUUUAUCCAGUUUUCCCUAUCAUUUCUGUGAACUUCAAUUUUACCAAGGACCUACACUGAGCCAUAUGCAAGUUAAUUUCACCAUAUCGAUGGAGAAAAGAACUGAAUUCCAUGUUUGGAUUAAAGGCGGUAAUGAGAUAUGCAACUGAAUGGUCCUGGCAAAAUGAGAUAUUCUUUCCUUAAC